UACAUUUUGAUCACAAAAUCAACUAUUUUUCGGAAACAAAGGAUUGGAAUAUCAAACUACUACAACUGCCUGCAGAGGCAAUGUAAGCCUAAAUUAUUAUUGUGGCUAGCAUAGAAAGAAACGAAUAUUUAGGGAGAAAUUUGAUAUUGUUGUGUGAGCUACAGUCUGAAUCUGAAUGAAAUGCUGACAGUCGAUCGCGUAUACUGUGUUGUUUAUUUCGAUUUUCGAGGUUUAUGUCAAAUCUUAUCAGGACAGGUUUUGGAUUGUAUCAAAUUUUAUUUAAAAAAGUAUAAGUCACGAGCAAUUAAUCAAAUUUAUUUCGUGUGGGAAGUUGUCUGUCUGUGUAUGACAUGUUGAACUACAAAUACAAACAAUAUCAGAAAAUGAUGUUAUUUAUUUAUGUAAUUAAAAUAUCAUGAUUAUGAAUUAACAUUCAUUCCUAUUACUACAAUAUUACUUCGAAGACAUCGAAUUUUUCCACUAAAUAAACCAAAC